AACGAACGCUGGCGGCAUGCCUAACACAUGCAAGUCGAACGAGACCUUCGGGUCUAGUGGCGCACGGGUGCGUAACGCGUGGGAACCUGCCCUUAGGUUCGGAAUAACUCCCCGAAAGGGGUGCUAAUACCGGAUAAUGUCUUCGGACCAAAGAUUUAUCGCCUUUGGAUGGGCCCGCGUUGGAUUCGCUAGUUGGUAGGGUAAAAGCCUACCAAGGCGACGAUCCAUAGCUGGUCUGAGAGGAUGAUCAGCCACACUGGGACUGAGACACGGCCCAGACUCCUACGGGAGGCAGCAGUGGGGAAUAUUGGACAAUGGGCGAAAGCCUGAUCCAGCAAUGCCGCGUGAGUGAUGAAGGCCUUAGGGUUGUAAAGCUCUUUUACCCGGGAUGAUAAUGACAGUACCGGGAGAAUAAGCUCCGGCUAACUCCGU
rnacentral:rRNA from 1 species